rnacentral:rRNA from 1 species
CCUGGUUGAUCCUGCCAGUAGUCAUAUGCUUGUCUCAAAGAUUAAGCCAUGCAUGUCUAAGUACAAGCCUAACUAAGGUGAAACCGCGAAUGGCUCAUUAAAUCACACCUAAUCUACUGGAUACUAGUCAGUUACUUGGAUACCUGAGGUAAUUCUUCAGCUAAUACAUGCACACAAGCCUCGAACUUACGUGAGAGGCGCUUUUAUUAGAUCAAAACCAGUCGCUUUCGAGCGUCCCUUUGGUGACUCUGAAUAACUUUGGGCUGAUCGCAUGGCCUCGAGCCGGCGACAUAUCCUUCGAAGGUGUGCCCUAUCAACUGUCGACUGUGGCAUAGACGCCCACAGUGGUUUUGACGGGUAACGGGGAAUCAGGGUUCGAUUCCGGAGAGGGAGCCUUAAAAACGGCUACCACAUCCAAGGAAGGCAGCAGGCACGCAAAUUACCCAAUGACCGAAGGUCGAGGUAGUGACGAAAAAUAACGAUACAGGACUCAUCCGAGGCCCUGUAAUCGGAAUGAAUUAACUUUAAAACCGUACAUGAGGAUCUAUUGGAGGGCAAGUCUGGUGCCAGCAGCCGCGGUAAUUCCAGCUCCAAUAGCGUAUAUUAAAGUUGUUGCGGUUAAAAAGCUCGUAGUUGGAUCUCGGCGGGUAGAAGGCGGUACACUGCUAAGUGUUACUGCCUUAUUACCCGUAGUUUUUGCUAGAGGUUUCAGGGUGCUCUUAAUCGAGUGUCCUGGGAUGCUAGCAGGUUUACUUUGAAAAAAUUAGAGUGCUCAAAGCAGGCUACUACGCUUGAAUAUUCGUGCAUGGAAUAAUAGAAUAGGAAGUCGUUUCUAUUUUGUUGGUUUUCGGAAAUCGACUUAAUGAUUAAUAGGGACAGUCGGGGGCAUUUGUAUUCAAACGACAGAGGUGAAAUUCUUGGACCGUUUGAAGACAAACUACUGCGAAAGCAUUUGCCAAGAAUGUUUUCAUUAAUCAAGAACGAAAGUUAGAGGUUCGAAGGCGAUUAGAUACCGCCCUAGUUCUAACCAUAAACGAUGCCAGCUAGCGAUCUGCGGACGUUUUUUUUGUAGACUCCGCAGGAAGCUUCCGGGAAACCAAAGCGUGUGGGUUCCGGGGGAAGUAUGGUUGCAAAGCUGAAACUUAAAGGAAUUGACGGAAGGGCACCACCAGGAGUGGAGCCUGCGGCUUAAUUUGACUCAACACGGGAAAUCUCACCAGGCCCGGACACUGGAAGGAUUGACAGAUUGAGAGCUCUUUCUCGAUUCGGUGGGUGGUGGUGCAUGGCCGUUCUUAGUUGGUGGAGUGAUUUGUCUGGUUAAUUCCGAUAACGAACGAGACUCUGUCCUGCUAAAUAGUGUCCGCCUCUCUUUUGGGC